GACGAACGCUGGCGGCGUGCUUAACACAUGCCAGUCGAACGGAAGGGCCCUGCUUGCAGGGUACUCGAGUGGCGAACGGGUGAGUAACACGUGGGUGAUCUGCCCUGCACUUCGGGAUACGCCUGGGAAACUGGGUCUAAUACCGGAUAGGAGCCAUUUUUAGUGUGAUGGUUGGAAAGUUUUUUCGGUGUAGGAUGAGCUCGCGGCCUAUCAGCUUGUUGGUGGGGUAAUGGCCUACCAAGGCGGCGACGGGUAGCUGGCCUGAGAGGGUGGACGGCCACAUUGGGACUGAGGGGCGGCCCAGGUUGCUAAGGGAGGAAGCAGGGGGGAAGAUUGAACAAUGGGCGCAAGCCGUAUGCAGCGAGGCCGCGGGGGGGAUGACGGCCUUCGGGUUGUAAACUCCUUUCGCUAGGGACGAAGCUUUUUGUGACGGUACCUAGAGAAGAAGCACCGGCUAACUACGUG
rnacentral:rRNA from 1 species